rnacentral:lncRNA from 1 species
GUGAAGGGGAUGGACCAGGCCCAGAGAUGCUUGGAAGGUCAAGGGCACCCACCUGGUCUGUGCUGGUCGGGGCUGCCCUGCCGGCAUCUCCGAGCUCAGGCAGUCAGUGGGGUGGGUCCCUGCUGCCUCUGACCUCCGAGGCGGGCCCUGAGCUGUGGCCGUUGCAGGAGGCUGUGCUCCCCUCACCCCCCUGAGCCACUCUGCGCCCACCCCAGUGGGGCUCAGGGUAAAGCAGAUCAGACGGGAUGCUAAGCGGGGGGUGCGGGGGGCACCUGCCUGGCCCUGGGCUGAGCACCCCAAGUCACCUGGAGACCCAUGCGCCUCCCCCACCCCCGCACCUGUCUCUGGGCCUCUGUCCCCCUCCCCUGCAAGCUGCAGAUCAGGUUUCACGACAGCAGUGCUUCCGGAAUGGGUUUGCAGACGGGUAUUUUUUAUUGGAAUAGUUAUGCAUUUAUUUCAAUAUUUAUUAAGAAAAACCAGUGCUUUGAAGCAUGAUUUCACAGACGCGUUGCCUAAGUCAAGGUUAAGUUUUUAAAAGCGAGUGGAUUUAAGGUCAGUUUAAAGAAGAAGGUCGGUCGAGAUGGUGGGGGUCCGCAGACGGGCAGAGCCGUGGGGCGGGACAUGCGGCCGCUUGGGACACACUGUGCUUCAGCAAUAACCAGGCUCUUUGCCCGUGUGGGCUCCUCAGACGGCUUCGGCUGGGCCCCGCCAAGGGAGCCUUGUUCUCCUUCCCAAGCCCUGACCUGCAAGAGCUUGGCCUCCAGCCGGGCUGGCAGGUGGUGUGGGGCGGGCUGCUUGACGGGCUCUGGGUGUCUGCGACCACACAGGGACCCCUGGGGCCUGGGCAUGGAGCAAAAGGCACAGGUACCAAGUGACUUAAGCUUUGUGGCCUGCAGAGCCCUUCCCCCAGGAGCUGGGGGGUGAGGGGAAGGGUGGCCAGGUCCCCUUUACACGUGAGGAAACCGAGGCCUGGAGAGGUGAAGGGCCCCCAGCAUCCCUCAGGGGCCUGGUAGCAGCGAGGCUGAGGACCUGGAAUGUGAAAAAGUGCCCCAUGUUUCCAAGGGGCUGGACUCCAGAGGCACAGCCCGGCUGCUGGCCUCUGCUGGCACCAUGGACUGGGCUGGCACGGUGGUCAGACCUGCAAGUGCCCCUGCGCCUCUGGAGCCUCAGCAGUGCGGGUGGCGGGCCACUGUGAGGAUUCCGAGGUGAUGCCCAAGCCCUGGGCUCCCUCCCAGGACAGUAGCCUCCAGGGCGAGGGGGCGCCGGGCCUUCCCCCUCGGGGAGCAGGUGACCUCAUAGGGUCUUGUCCCCCCUGCUCUGGGCGGCCCUGUGGCUGGUGGGGGAGGCUGGGUGCACAUCCGAUGCUGCCCACUCCAGAGAGCCAUGUGCGGGCCUCCCUGCCCUGCUGAGCAUCACUAUGGGGGUGCUAAUUAUGGGGGUGCUCGUCUGGGGAAGGAAAGGACGCAGGUGGGCCUGUCUGCCCCAAGCAGUCAUAGUUGGAGGGGAGGCGCCCCCACAUUAGUUGUGCCCGUCAGCACGUUCCUGAAGGGACACGUGUGCCGUGUGCUGGAGCUGGGAAGAGGGGCUGCGGGACCUGGGAAGACCGCGUGGAGGACGGGCUGGGGCUCGAGGGGAUGGCAUCUGACGCUGGUCAGCAGCUUCUGUUUUCUGGCCCCAGGUGUCACCCUGUUUCAUCAGCGCAGUGGCCCUGAGCCCUGUGCACUGUUGCUCUGUGCACCCGCCAGGGAUGUGACUCUCCUGGUGUCACCUGGUGUUAUAAGUGAUGGGGCAGGGAAUACAUCCUGGGUGUGUCUGACAUGACACCAUCCCUUUACCCUGAACUCUAGGACCCCAGAACAAGCAGACACGUGGGGAGGGCAGUUGAGGCAAGGGGACGGGCCUGAGAGAGGGUGCAUCUGGGUGGCUGAUGGGGCAUGUCUAGAGGGAGGAGCAGCUGAGCCUAAAGGAGAAGCCUGGCCGGGGACCUCCUGAGACUUGGGGAUGUUCCCAGAGGGUCACACAUACUGUUCCCAGCCACUUGGCCUUGUUUCUGUGAGCUGUGGGGGCUGGGGACCCAGGAAGCUGUGAUUGGCUGGCCAGGACAAGCCCCGGUGGAGAAGGGCUGGGUGAGUGGCCCCUCCGCUCUGCCUGAUCCCGUGGCCUGUCCAUCACAAAAGCACAAACUUACCUUAACGCACACGGCCUGGCCCUGGGGAGAGUGGGGACCCUGGUGCCGGACACCCCAAGCUGUGUGUUUGCAGGGCUCCGCACAGUGGUGGCUGGCAGGCACCUCAGCAUCUGCACAGAUGGACCUGAGACCAGACAAUGGACCCGAGACCAGACGGGCCCGUGGCCUACCCUGGCCAAACCCUCUUCCUGUCCCCUGCUCGGUCUUCUGCACCAGGCAGCCCCCUAAAGGAUGAAGUGUGCACAGUAUCAGCCCCGCAGAUCCUCCCCCUGGAGCCCUCUGUGUCCAGGGCCACCUUCGGCCCCCUUUGCUGCGCCGUGUAAGGGCUUGGGGUCUUAGAAGCCGCUGUUUAGCCCAGAUACACGUACUCUUUUUGUCUUUGUGCAAUAAUCAGUGUUCCUGGCAGAGCCGGGUCCGAGCUGGGGCCCAGGGAGGAGGCAGAGACAGCCUCUUCCAGGAAGCCCUGGGCCUGGUCCUGCCGCUGUAACUAUCGCACCCCCAGUCGCUGUACAGUUUCUAUGGUGUGAAUGAACUUCCCUCCUAGUUGCUGAUGGCACUGGUCCCUGCUGGCCCAGAUGGCCCAGGCAUAGAGAAACCAAGUGGCAGCCGCCACUAGUGUUGUUUUGAAUAAAAACCCAGAAGCCUAUUUCAG